AACGAACGCUGGCGGCAUGCCUAACACAUGCAAGUCGAACGGGACCUUCGGGUCUAGUGGCGCACGGGUGCGUAACGCGUGGGAACCUGCCUUUAGGUUCGGAAUAACUCAGAGAAAUUUGAGCUAAUACCGGAUGAUGUCUUCGGACCAAAGAUUUAUCGCCUUUAGAUGGGCCCGCGUUGGAUUAGCUAGUUGGUGGGGUAAAGGCCUACCAAGGCGACGAUCCAUAGCUGGUCUGAGAGGAUGAUCAGCCACACUGGGACUGAGACACGACCCAGACUCCUACGGGAGGCAGCAGUGGGGAAUAUUGGACAAUGGGCGAAAGCCUGAUCCAGCAAUGCCGCGUGAGUGAUGAAGGCCUUAGGGUUGUAAAGCUCUUUUACCCGAGAUGAUAAUGACAGUAUCGGGAGAAUAAGCUCCGGCUAACUCCGUG
rnacentral:rRNA from 1 species